GGGGGAAAAAUUAAUAAAAUUAUAAUUAAUAAAAUAAUUUUUAAAAUAAAAUAUUUAAUGGGGGUUAAAGUAUUUUUUUUAGAAAAAAUUAUAAAGUUUAUAAUUAAUUAGUAUUGUGAAAGAAAUUUGAAAUAAUUAUGAAAAUAAAUUUAUAAAAAAGUAAAUUUUAAUUGUUGUAUCUUGUGUAUCAGAGUUUAUUAAAAAAUGUUUAUAUAAGAAUAAAUUUCUCGAAUUUAAAAGAGUUAAUUAAUUAUAAAAGUUAAUGUUGUAUAAUUAUUUUUAAUAAUUAAUUAGAAAUGAAAUGUUAUUCGUUUUUAAAUAUAUCUAGUUUUUUUAGAAAAAAAUUUAAUUUUAAAUAUUAAAUUAAAAAAUAUUAUUUUAUUUAAUGUUUUUUUUUUAAUAUUAAAUAUUUUAAGGGAUAAGCUUUAAAAUAAAUUUUUAUAAUAUUUUUAUUAAAAUAAAAUUUUUAAAAUUUAUAUUGUUUAAAAAUUAUAAUUUUUUAUAAAUAAUUUUAUUUUAAUUUAAAAUUUAAUUUAAAUAUUUAAUUUUUUUUCAUAAAAUAAAUAAUUUAUAAUAAUUAAAAAUUAGUUAUAAUGAUAAAAUUAGUAUAUAAAUAAAAAUUUAAAUAAUAAUAAUUUAUUAAAAUUUAAUAAAAGGAAUUCGGCAAAUUUUUAUAUUCACUUGUUUAUCAAAAACAUGUCUUUUUGAUAAUAAUUUAAAGUCUAGUCUGCCCACUGAUAAAUUAUUAAAGGGCUGCAGUAUUUUGACUGUACAAAGGUAGCAUAAUCAUUAGUCUCUUAAUUGGUGACUUGUAUGAAAGAUUUCAUGAAAUAUAAACUGUCUCUUAUUAAUUUAUAAAAUUUAAUUUUUUAGUAAAAAAGCUAAAAUAAAUUUAAAAGACGAGAAGACCCUAUAGAGUUUAAUUAUUAAAUUAAUUUUUAUUUUUUAUAAAUUUUUUUUUUUAUUUAAAUUAUAUUAAUUAUUUUAUUGGGGUGAUAGAAAAAUUAAAAUAACUUUUUUUAAAAAAAAUUAACAUAAAUAAAUGAAUAUAUGAUCCGAUUAUAUCGAUUAAAAGAUUAAAUUACCUUAGGGAUAACAGCGUAAUUUUUUUUUUUAGUUCAAAUAAAAAAAAAAGUUUGCGACCUCGAUGUUGGAUUAAGAUAAAAUUUAAAUGCAAAAGUUUAAAAUUUUGAUCUGUUCGAUCAUUAAAAUCUUACAUGAUCUGAGUUCAAACCGGUGUAAGCCAGGUUGGUUUCUAUCUUUAGAAAAGAUUAAUAUUUUA
rnacentral:rRNA from 1 species